CAACCUGUGAAAAAGAAAUUAAAAAAAGAAAUUAAAAUAGAAGUCUUAUCAGCAAGUUAAAUGCUUAGAAUCAGAAGAUUUACCAGUAAGUUUAAUUUUUGGUAUACUCAUUGCUGUCAAUAUAUUGAAAUAGUUUAAAAACAUGACUAAAAUGGGCUGUUUGUUUAAAAAAAGCCCCCUAAAUAUGGAGGGUGAAGGAAGAAGUGAAUCAUCAACUGGGAUUUCCAAGUUUAUAUAAGAUUUUUGGCAAGAAGGGCUCAAACUCUGUAGGUGCCUACAGUGAUGCCUUAACAAAGUAUAUUGAUAAAGUACCAACUUUAAGUCAGUUAUGUUUUGGCAUUGAAUAUGUGGUAAAAAUAAUGCUUAAAAUUUCUCCUUUUUCAGUAGAUUUGUGUGGAUUCAGAUUCAUUGGUAUCUGAGCACCUGCACUCAUCAAUUAACUUGUUCUCACAACAUCCUUGUAAGACAGAAAAGAAAAAAUCCCCAGUGUCAGGGACUUGCUGGAGCCUGCGCCAGGAGGUCUGGGGAGAGGUCUGAGGGAUGAUCCGCACGUAACGGGCCACGAUCGGAGGGAUGAAGUUAUUGCGCACUAUGUCACCAGCGUUGGAGUUGCCUUGGAACACCUGCAACAAAAGGUGCACACACUGUCUGCCCUGUUUUAAAAGUCUCUUUCUUCAAAGUGCUCCUAACAUCCAGCUUCAAAGAUUUUCAUCCUAAGACUGACACACUGAUAACCUGGGAUUCAGCCACAAGAUUUUAGGAAUUGAGAGUUCUGGAAGGAAAUAAUCGUUUUAGUUGUGCCAGAUGAUCACAUUUUUCCGUUAGCUCGGAGGAGAAAGAUUAUCACCGUUUCAUACUGUGUAAUUCCCAGUUAAUGUUUGCUGGAAUAAUGCUAUGAUUUUUUAUUUAAGAGCACUGCAGCACCCUUUCUUGGAAAUAGCGGAUAGAAACACAAAAAGGAAAAACCUGAAGUGAACCAUUUCUAGGCAUUUUAGGAAAAUGGUCAGUUUUCUGUAUCAAACUUGAAGAAUGACUAUUAACUACACAGUUGUUACUGCAUUAUUAUCCAGAAUCAGCUCAGCCCCUUGUGCAGAACAAAUAUCCUUGCAAUAUUAGUUCUUGGAGAUGCUUCAGCACGAUCUAGGAAAACUUAAAAGCCUGAUGAGACAGAGAAGUGAGCUCAGCAUAUCUUAGAUAAAAUGCCAGGCCAUAUAAGCUUGUGAUGGGACAGGUUCUGUCAUGCACCUUAGCUGAAACUAAGAUUGUAUAUAAUACUUUCAAAGGAUAUUGGUAUAUGACAAGUCACUGUGGGAAACUGCAAGCCUGCAUAUUUUAAAUAGCUAAGCCUUUGCAGUUCACCCACUACUAGACUGAUUUGUCACUCUUUGGGCCAGCGUCCCCUCAGUUUAACAUUUAAAAAAAUAUUAACACCAUUAAUGUUGGAAAUUCCUUGCCAUGCAAGCUAAGAAAAGCAGAGCUAGCAGGAAAUCUCUCUUCAGCUCUGCCAAGUUUUCAAAAACUGCCAUCAGCCCUGAGGAUGGUAGAGCCUUCUCCUGAGGCAAGCUGCGAUCCCUCAGGAAUGAUGAGUGGAGGUCUGACUUUGAACACUGUGGGGACAGGAAGGAAGGCUUUUGGGAUUUCUUUUGUGUGAAAGGAAACAUGAAGUUUUCAGGGGAAAAUGUUUGCAGACAAACUCCACCAGCAGCUCUGCCCUUCACUGGAGGGGUUGUUUCAUUUGGCAGGGGGAGGUGGAUUGACCAUCCCAGUGCAUUUGGAGCUGACCCUCAGCUUUGCUGGUGCCAUACCAACAGCAUCCCUGGCAUGAGCAAACACUGAGCUGAGCUAAGGACUUGCCCCAACAGCUGCUGUACAGCUGCAAUUAUAGCACUUUUUUAAAAGAAGGGUGCAGACAUACACAUGCCUCCCUGUGUGUGUCCCACGGCUUCACCAAGCCCUGGAUAACUUCCUUGUUACGACAAGCUCACUAUCUACUCCUCAGCCAUAAAUUACACUGGUGAAGACAGCCCAAGUCUAGACAAGUUUGAAACUCCUAAUCAUUCUUGACAGUGAAAGCUUGCCCUCCAAUGUCAAGGCAGCAUAGGUAUUAUUGUUUUGUGUUUUCCUACCCUUCCCACUUUCCCUUACCUUUUCUUCAUUGCUCAGAAUCCCUUUGUAAGUUCUCCAUUUCGAGUUGUUAUUUUUAUAAUUCAUUGUAAAUGUCUUCACAUAAAAGUUGAAAUUCAUGGAUCCAGAA